UUACCGGCGGAUGCUUUACCCCUGCAGUCGAACGGCAGCACGGACUUCGGUCUGGUGGCGAGUGGCGAACGGGUGAGUAAUACAUCGGAACGUGCCCAGUCGUGGGGGAUAACGUAGCGAAAGCUACGCUAAUACCGCAUACGAUCUAAGGAUGAAAGCGGGGGAUCGCAAGACCUCGCGCGAUUGGAGCGGCCGAUGGCAGAUUAGGUAGUUGGUAGGGUAAAGGCCUACCAAGCCGACGAUCUGUAGCUGGUCUGAGAGGACGACCAGCCACACUGGGACUGAGACACGGCCCAGACUCCUACGGGAGGCAGCAGUGGGGAAUUUUGGACAAUGGGCGAAAGCCUGAUCCAGCCAUUCCGCGUGCAGGAUGAAGGCCCUCGGGUUGUAAACUGCUUUUGUACGGAACGAAAAGGUCCUGGUUAAUACCUGGGGCUCAUGACGGUACCGUAAGAAUAAGCACCGGCUAACUACGUGCCAGCAGCCGCGGUAAUACGUAGGGUGCAAGCGUUAAUCGGAAUUACUGGGCGUAAAGCGUGCGCAGGCGGUGAUGUAAGACAGAGGUGAAAUCCCCGGGCUCAACCUGGGAACUGCCUUUGUGACUGCAUCGCUGGAGUACGGCAGAGGGGGAUGGAGUUCCGCGUGUAGCAGUGAAAUGCGUAGAUAUGCGGAGGAACACCGAUGGCGAAGGCAAUCCCCUGGGCCUGUACUGACGCUCAUGCACGAAAGCGU
rnacentral:rRNA from 1 species